AUGGCUCAUGUUCUGAAGAAGCCCUAUGGCCCUAUUUGCAAGCUUAUCCUUAAAGGUGCAGGACACCUCCAGACCAGACGUCUGAAAAGAUUUCAGCGCCCAGGCAAAUCCACGAGCAGCACAGAGGCCGUGGAGAUGGAGAACACGACAACCCUCGGAGCGCAGGGCUGUAGCAACCCCGGCUACCAGGACAUAGAAUGGGCACAAAGGAGGAAUUAAGUAUACUUGCAAGAGGCAGCAGAGGUCAGAAAAGCCCUCACAGAAGAGGAGGCCCUUAAGAUGACACUUGAAAGAACAGACUUACAAGCCUGCCUCCCCCUGUCGUUUGGAGGACUUGGUGAUGUCAUCUAUCUAAAGCAUUUAGCACAAUGCCUGCAGUCCAUAAACGUUAGCUGACUCUAAAUGGUUUUGUUGCUGCGUUAUACUCCAUGUGACCCUCUGGAUCAGUCAGGGUUCUUGAUGGCAAACAACAGAAAAUGCCUGGCUAACCUAAGCAGAAGAGAGGGUUCAUAGAAGGCUCUCAGAGAGCUCAGCAACUCCACAGGGAGCCGGCUCAGAGCAGAGAUGGGAACCAAGAGAGGCCGGGCAGCUGAGGACACGCCAGGGCCAGCUCCCAGGAGCAGUCUGGUCAGGUCAAAGUCGUGGACACCACUGGACACUCAGCACCGCUGCCAACACCAAGAGUGACUCUCAGUGUCCUCGGAUUUUCUACCACGCCCUCAGGAUGGAACACCCUGGGUGAGAGGACCCACUGGCUGAUUCCAGGUCAGUCGUCCAGAUCUCAGCUUUCAGUGGUCAUCGGGAGAAGGUAUUUGGCCUCUUCAACUUCCAGAGUAAGAAGCGGGGCCCUUUUUCCUAGUAAGAUUCACACAGCAGAGCCUAUUUUAGAAGUAGAGAGGGAUUUGGAUGUAUCCAAAAAAAGGUUCAGCUAUGCCUUAAAGAACGCUGUUUUGAUAUAACAAGGAACAUUGUAUCAAAAAUGUAGAAAAUCAUCAUAGACCCCAGAAAUUUCUCUUCAAAAUGUAAAAUACUUAAAAAUCAAAACUUUUAGGUCAUCUUUAGGUAUUUCAUGCCAAACACUUGCCAUAUAGUAAGCACUCAAUAAAUAAUAGUGAAGUAAAUAUAGUCA
rnacentral:lncRNA from 1 species